rnacentral:lncRNA from 1 species
AGGGGGAGGGAAGGAGGACAUGCCCUGCCAUGCCUGAUCUUCUCGGGGCUUUCGGACGCCAGCCACAGAAAAUUUUCAUGGCGGAGCUUCUCCAACGUUCGUCAUGGUCACGGGAUUCGGCGACGCCAAUCGGGUUCCAGACCCGGAUAGGGCGGAUGCCACCAAAUAAUAAGCCAAAAGCCGUGAAUCACUUUUGUCCCGGAGCGGAACAGAACUAUCCGCUUCGCCCUACUGGACGCUGCAAACCAGGCAAUCAUUCAACGCUUUGAAUCUCGCGAAUAGUGCAUCUUUUCCUAGGGGAAGGGGGGGCUUUAUCGGGCAUGGAUGACGAGUAGGG